rnacentral:rRNA from 1 species
UUUCGAAUCAUUCACAAUGGGCGAAAGCCUGAUGGUGCGACGCCGCGUGAGGGAUGAAGGCCUUCGGGUUGUAAACCUCUGUCACCGGGGAAGAAACGCUUCAAGUUAACAGUUUGAAGCCUGACUUAACCCGGAGAGGAAGCAGUGGCUAACUCUGUGCCAGCAGCCGCGGUAAUACAGAGACUGCGAGCGUUAUUCGGAUUCACUGGGCGUAAAGGGUGCGCAGGCGGCCAUGUGUGUGAGGCGUGAAAGCCCGGGGCUCAACCCCGGAAUUGCACCUCAAACUACGUGGCUAGAGCAUUGGAGAGGGUAGCAGAAUUCAUGGUGUAGCAGUGAAAUGCGUAGAUAUCAUGAGGAAUACCAGAGGCGAAGGCGGCUACCUGGACAAUUGCCGACGCUCAGGCACGAAAGCGUGGGGAGCAAAAGGG